UAAUACGUAGGGGGCGAGCGUUGUCCGGAUUUACUGGGCGUAAAACGCUUGUAGGUGGCCACGCCAAGUCGGAUGUGAAAUCUCCCGGCUUAACUGGGAGGGGUCAUUCGAUACUGGCGGGCUCGAGGCAGGUAGGGGGAAGCGGAAUUCCCGGUGUAGUGGUGGAAUGCGUAGAUAUCGGGAGGAACACCAGUGGCGAAGGCGGCUUCCUGGACCUGUUCUGACACUGAGGAGCGAAAGCGUGGGGAGCGAUCC
rnacentral:rRNA from 1 species